rnacentral:rRNA from 1 species
UACGUAGGGGGCAAGCGUUGUCCGGAUUUAUUGGGCGUAAAGAGCGUGUAGGCGGCCUUACAGGUCAGCUGUGAAAACUCGAGGCUCAACCUCGAGACGUCGGUUGAAACCGUAUGGCUAGAGUCCGGAAGAGGAGAGUGGAAUUCCCGGGUGUAGCGGUGAAAUGCGCAGAUAUCAGGAGGAACAUCCGUGGCGAAGGCGGCUCUCUGGGACGGUACUGACGCUGAGACGCGAAAGCGUGGGGAGCGAACAGG